rnacentral:rRNA from 1 species
AAAAAACCCCACGUGAAUGUACUCUUUUAUUAGGCAUGGCCGGUCCUCGGACGUAGCUAGCCGAAGGUUUCGUAUGAAACCGAUGUCAUUUCAUCCCUUUUAAAUAAAUUCUGAUCAAAACUGCAGACAGAAAUGUGUGCAUUCAAUUGAAAUACAACUUUCAACAGUGGAUGUCUAGGCUCGCACAUCGAUGAAGAACGCUGCGAACUGCGAUACGUAAUGCGAAUUGCAGAAUUCAGUGAGUCAUCAAAAUUUUGAACGCAUAUUGCACUUCCGGGUUAGUCCUGGGAGUAUGUUUGUAUCAGUGUCCGUUAAUACAAAAUUGUUUUCUUUUUUAAGGAAGCAGAACGUGGAGUGUCUUGCUUUGGCAAGUCCUCCUAAAUGAUACUACCUGUACGUCCUUGUGGAAUACAUUACGUAAAGGUGUCUACGAUUUCGAUGGCGAUUGUUUUGUGAAAAGACGCUCGUUUUUGAAGGAGAGACGGAUUGCGGUAGCUUUGCUUGUGCUUCGGCACGGGUGAACACUAUUAUUGCUUUUUGUCGAACCGGAUAGGCUUGUGUUGGACCAUGAAAUGCGUCUUUGAAUAGUAGAUACUGGUGUACUCCUUGUCGUAUGGAGGAAAUUGGGAAUUUAAUCCAAUUUGGACCUGAUAUCAAACAAGACUACCCGCUGAACUUAAGCAUAUCAUUAAGCGGAGGAAAAGAAACUAACNAGGAUUCCCCCAGUAACGGCGAGUGAAGCGGGAAGAGCUCAAGCUUAAAAUCUCCAUGUUUACAUGGCGAAUUGUAGUCUAUUGAGGCUGUUGUCAGCAUAGCGAUCUGGGAAAAGUCCCUUGGAAAAGGGCAGCACAGAGGGUGAUACUCCCGUCUUUGCUCAGAUUGUCUGUGUGUACGAUACGCUUUCUUUGAGUCGAGUUGUUUGGGAAUACAGCUCAAAGUAGGUGGUAAAUUCCAUCUAAAGCUAAAUAUUGGUGCGAGACCGAUAGCGAACAAGUACCGUGAGGGAAAGAUGAAAAGAACUUUGAAAAGAGAGUUAAAGAGUACCUGAAACUGUUGAAAGGGAACCGUAUCGUUUCCAGUGUUGUAUCCUGUGCAUAUUUCAUUGGCGGAGUAAUUUGCUGGUGCCCUGUGCAUGGGUGUGACGUCAGAGUCAGUUUGUAUGCUGCGGGAGAUGGUUAGGGAGAAGGUGCGUCACUUCGGUGAAAGUUAUAGCUCUCUAACUAGUUGCCGUGGUUGAGACUGAGGUGCCUACAACAUGCCUUGGGGUUCCGUGCUGCCUCGU